rnacentral:rRNA from 1 species
AAACUAACAAGGAUUCCCCUAGUAGCGGCGAGCGAAGCGGGAAGAGCUCAAAUUUAUAAUCUGGCACUUUCAGUGUCCGAGUUGUAAUCUCUAGAAGUGUUUUCCGCAUUGGACCGCACACAAGUCUGUUGGAAUACAGCGGCACAGUGGUGAGACCCCCGUAUACGGUGCGGAUGCCCAAUGCUUUGUGAUACACUUUCGAAGAGUCGAGUUGUUUGGGAAUGCAGCUCAAAUCGGGUGGUAAAUUCCAUCUAAAGCUAAAUAUUGGCGAGAGACCGAUAGCGAACAAGUACCGUGAGGGAAAGAUGAAAAGCACUUUGGAAAGAGAGUUAACAGUACGUGAAAUUGUUGGAAGGGAAACGCUUGAAGUCAGACUUGCUAUUCGGGGCUUGCUCCGAGUUGCAGGCCAGCAUCAGUUUUCUGGGGUGGAAAAUCACGGUUAGAAGGUAGCAACUUCGGUUGUGUUAUAGCUUUCCGUUGGAUACAUCCUGGGGGACUGAGGAACGCAGUGUGCUUUUAGCAGGAGCUUCGGCUUCAUCACACUUAGGAUGCUGGUGGAAUGGCUUUAAACGAC